UGGUGGAGUUAAAAUCUACUGGGGUAGAUGUGUGGUUAAUUGUAGACUAAAAAGUUUCUUUGUUGUUGUUUUAAGUUAGGAAAAUAAUGAGAGUGCUUUGAAUUCUCUGUGCAUUUCUUUUUUCCCUUAUUGCAUCAUAGACCUCCACUGCUGACCUUCAGGCUGGUCUAUUUAAAGAAACCUUUGCCCAGAUGAUUUUGGAGGUGGUCUCUUGCCCUCUGUCCUCUCUGGAAUAAGAACUAACCUGAACAACAGUAACAACAAUACCAACAGCCAUGAAGAUUAUGUAUAGCUGGAGGCUACAAGCAGGUAAGGUGUGAAGG
rnacentral:lncRNA from 1 species